rnacentral:rRNA from 1 species
CAGCAGUCGGGAAUUUUGGGCAAUGGGGGAAACCCUGACCCAGCAACGCCGCGUGAAGGAUGAAGUAUUUCGGUAUGUAAACUUCGAAAGAAUAGGAAGAAUUAAUGACGGUACUAUUUAUAAGCUCCGGCUAACUACGUGCCAGCAGCCGCGGUAAUACGUAGGGAGCAAGCGUUGUUCGGAUUUACUGGGCGUAAAGGGCGCGUAGGCGGCGCGGUAAGUCACUUGUGAAAUCUCUGAGCUUAACUCAGAACGGCCAAGUGAUACUGCAGUGCUAGAGUGCAGAAAGGGCAAUCGGAAUUCUUGGUGUAGCGGUGAAAUGCGUAGAUAUCAAGAGGAACACCUGAGGCGAAGGCGGGUUGCUAGGCUGACACUGACGCUGAGGCGCGAAAGCCAGGGGAGCAAACGGGAUUAGA